rnacentral:rRNA from 1 species
UACGUAGGUGGCAAGCGUUGUCCGGAUUUACUGGGCGUAAAGGGCGUGCAGGCGGUCUGUUAAGUUCAGGGUGAAAGCUCCCGGCUCAACUGGGAGAGGUCCUUGGAUACUGGCGGACUUGAGGGAGGCAGAGGAAAGUGGAAUUCCCGGUGUAGUGGUGAUAUGCGUAGAUAUCGGGAGGAACACCAGUGGCGAAGGCGGCUUUCUGGGCCUUACCUGACGCUGAGACGCGAAAGCGUGGGGAGCGAAC